rnacentral:rRNA from 1 species
GAUGAACGCUGGCGGCGUUCCUAAUACAUGCAAGUCGAGCGAACAGACGAGGAGCUUGCUCCUCUGACGUUAGCGGCGGACGGGUGAGUAACACGUGGAUAACCUACCUAUAAGACUGGGAUAACUUCGGGAAACCGGAGCUAAUACCGGAUAACAUGUUGAACCGCAUGGUUCAACAGUGAAAGACGGUCUUGCUGUCACUUAUAGAUGGAUCCGCGCCGCAUUAGCUAGUUGGUAAGGUAACGGCUUACCAAGGCAACGAUGCGUAGCCGACCUGAGAGGGUGAUCGGCCACACUGGAACUGAGACACGGUCCAGACUCCUACGGGAGGCAGCAGUAGGGAAUCUUCCGCAAUGGGCGAAAGCCUGACGGAGCAACGCCGCGUGAGUGAAGAAGGUCUUCGGAUCGUAAAACUCUGUUAUUAGGGAAGAACAAAUGUGUAAGUAACUAUGCACGUCUUGACGGUACCUAAUCAGAAAGCCACGGCUAACUACGUG